GCCAACCUCUCUUAUAUUACUACUCUUGUAUUUCCACUACCAUAUAAAUAAAAUUGUUGUUGUUUCUACUUAGAAGAUUUAUUGUUGAGAGUCUACUCUAAGUAAAGUUUCGGUCAUUGAGGUGUUUCGAAGGCGACUCAAAGAAGUCUUGGAUCUCUUAUUCAUCCAAGUAGGGAAAAAUUAACACUCGAAGGAAUGCGUCAUGAAGGCUUGAAGAGCAGAUUGCCAAUGCAGGAGCUCCUCCCCGUGGUGAUCAAGUUCCUCCUCUUGAAGAAGAUGAUAAUGUUGAACAAGCUUCGGUCAAUCCUUCACCUUUGACGGAUGGUGACAUAAGGGUUUCCCGUAACCAAUUGGCCCAAACAAUAACUACACAAGCCCAAGCUAGGAUGGCUGAAGCUAGCCAUGACGUUGUACCCCAUCCAAAUCAACAAGUUCUUACCAUGACCUCCCGUCUAAGGGACUUCACUCGGAUGAACCCUCCUACUUUCUACGGGUCUAAGGUUUAAGAAGACCCCCAAGAGUUCAUCGAUCAAUUCUAUAAGAUACUAUUGGCUAUGGGGUUGUCCACAAGUUAGAAGGCUGAGUUGGCCACUUAUGAACUCAACGACGUGGCUCAAGCAUGGUAUGCCCAAUGGAGAGAUAAUAGGCCAUUAAGGGGUGGUCCGGUGACUUGGGAGAUCUUCCAGAAGACUUUUCUUGAUCGGUUCUUUCCUAGGGAGAUGAGGGAAGCUAAAGUGGUGGAGUUCAUCAACCUUCGACAAGGAGGUAUAAGUGUUCAUAUAUACUCCUUGAAGUUCACUAAAUUGUCGAAAUAUGCUCUUUCUUUGGUUUCCGAUCCUAAAGAUGAAAUGAGCCGCUUUGCGACGGGGGUGUCGGAUGAUUUGCAAGAGGAUUGUCAUUCGGCUAUGCUACAUCACAACAUGAACAUUUAUCGUCUUAUGGUGCAUGCCAAUCAUGUGGAAGAUUCUAGGGCUAAGAGAAAAAGUACAAAUGCUAAGAGGGCAAGAUCUUUUUAUGAAGGUUCUUCAAAGAAUAGGCUUGAAAUACAAGACAAGCCUUGAUUUAAGAAGAGGGUUUCUAAUCAAGUUCCUUCCAAGUUACCUAAGGCUAGUAGUGAUAGGGUGUUUAACCCUAAGCCUAAGAAGGGAAUAGGUACUAGUUCACAAACUGAGAAGCCAACUUGUGGAAAGUGUGGCAAGAAGCACUAUGGUGAUUGUCUUAAGGGGACGGAAAAAUUUUUGGUUGUGGUAAAAGUGGGAACAAUGUUAGGGAUCUCCCUAAUGUGAAGGUUCAAGACAAUGAUAGUGGUCAAGAUCAAGCAAGUGGUUCAAAUGAGGCUCCAAAGAAGAACCACUUCUAUGUUCUCUCCUCUAGGGGUGAGUAAGAGACUUCUCCUGAUGUGGUGACCAGUAUUUUGAAAGCUUUCUCUGUUGAUGUAUAUGCAUUACUUUAUCCCGGUGCUACUUUAUCAUUUGUCACCCCUCUAGUAGCCAAAAAGUUUGAUAUUUUGCCCGAUAUUUUACAUGAACCUUUUAUUGUGUCUGCUUCGGCAGGUGAGUCGG